rnacentral:rRNA from 1 species
CUGCUGCCUUCCGUAGGAGUUUGGGCCGUGUCUCAGUCCCAAUGUGGCCGUCCACCCUCUCAGGCCGGCUACUGAUCGUCGCUUUGGUAGGCCGUUACCCUGCCAACUGGCUAAUCAGACGCGGGUCCAUCGCAUACCACCUCGGUUUUUCACACUGGACCAUGCGGUCCCGUGCGCUUAUGCGGUAUUAGCACCUGUUUCCAGGUGUUAUCCCCCGGGUAUACGGCAGGUUACCCACGCGUUACUCACCCGUCCGCCACUAACUUAACA